UGUUUUUUCUCAUUUCAGGUCAGAUAGCCCGAUGCUGGUGGCAGAGGCAGAUCCCUCUUACAGGCUCGACACCACUGGACCAGUGCCUAGGAUUAUCCCAGGUCCAGCUGCACAGUCUGUGGCUGACUUGGAGGACGACAGUGGAGAGGAGGAGUUCCUGGAGCAAGCUCCUAUAACACAGUGGGAGGAAGCAGAGGUAGCGUCCCUUACCGCCACCUUCCACUUGGAGACAUCCAGCCAG